AGACAAAGCAUGGAGGACACAAGAAUGGGAGGAAAGGCGGACUCUCAGGAACUUCAUUCUUCACGUGGUUUAUGGUGAUUGCAUUGCUGGGCGUCUGGACAUCUGUAGCUGUCGUUUGGUUUGAUCUUGUUGACUAUGAGGAAGUUCUAGGAAAACUAGGAAUCUAUGAUGCUGAUGGUGAUGGAGAUUUUGAUGUGGAUGAUGCCAAAGUUUUAUUAG
rnacentral:circRNA from 1 species